AGGGCUGGCGGCGGGUUCAAGAACUAAACCCUAAAUGGGGUAGGGUUUAGACGAAGCUAUAUAUAGUUGAUGUUCCAACCCUGAUAUCAGUCUCUAUCCCGAAAGAUCUAAACCUUCAGAGUUUAUUUCUCAAGCGACGCAGUAUACCAUGGCAAUGGCGAAGGAUAAUGACGCCGUGAGCCCGUGAGAAGGAAGAAGAGCAAAGCCAUUUGCAAAAUGCUCAGAAAGAAGAAUGAUUCGUUCACUCUCUCUGCCAAGGUGGCCGCCGCUAUUGCUGCCAAGAAGCGCCGCCAAGCCUGGGAAUGCGCUUAAACCUGCCUACUAUUGAUGAUCCAUCCAAUGGUCAUCAUGGGAAAGGAAUUCAAAAGAACAGCGCCUGGAAAUAAGAAACUUGCCGAGAGAAAAAGAUCCCUCAUCGCCAAUGGUAUGAAGUCAGUUAUAGUUAGGAACUUACACCAAAGAUACUAAGCCACUAAGGUGACCUAGACGGCAUGUGGUGCCGAAACUGCAAAAUUGGGAAUCGGCAGAGAUGCUUUCUAGGUCUGUGCCCAAGUUCAAGAAAAAAUGCAUUAUGACAUGGGGGUGCCUCCUUGAUGGAGAGGAUAAUGCUUCAUUUGUUGAUAAUACGACCUCAAUAGGGUAUUUUUUGUAAUUUCAGCACAAAGGGACAGAAUGGUAAUCAAACUAGGAUUUAGUGUGAUUCUUCUAGUAGUCAAAUACUUGACCUUGCAAAAUUACUAUUCUGUCCCUUUGUCUUGAAAUUACAAAAAACAGUCUCUUCAACCUGUAUCAGUUGACUCAUUGGGGACUGGGGAGGAGAGUUUCUAGAGUGUUAUUCUAUGAGGGAAAGAUACGAUAGCAAUCAUUGAAAACUCAGCCACCAUGAGGAAGUUGCAUGAGUUGUUUAUGGUGAAGCUGAGACACUUUUGAGAAAAGAGAAGCAAGACUUAACUUUUGCCUGGCCUUUCCUUUCAUUCCUUGUACCCAAGAGAAAGCUGUACAGGUUAGAUAAACUUCACUCUUCAUGCUUGCAAUUUCUAUGUUGCUGCCCCUCCCCCACCCAUUAAAAAUAAGUAUAAUUCAUUCUCCCACUAACAUUUUACAUUAUUAGCUUUUGAUGAUGAGAGCCAAACGUUUCUCCACUAUUGUCUCUGCCUACUUUCUAGACUUGCAACUAUUUGUAAAGUAUCUACAAGUGUGGUUGCUGUAUUUCUAAUUGAAAUAAUCACAAAGUGAGGUUAGCAUGACUUCUCAAGUCCAGUUGUCUUGCUGCUCUUUUUGAAAAUUCUUGUUUUUUCAUCCUAUGCCUCUGGAAUAACCGAAUGGUGAAAUAAAUAACCUUUUGGUUCAGAAGAAGGCAAAUAUCAAGUGCCAAACCUUGAAGAUGUUUGAGGGCACGGAAUGCUCUACUUUAGCUCCUUGCCUUGAUAUCUUCGGACAUCCAUUUCUUUUGUUUCUUUGUUGCAAUUUCCUUCUUUAAUUUUCAGCUUGAAUUGAACCGAGUUUAAUUGUAGUGGGAGAAAUGAUUGAACAUCUUUUUGUUGCAAUUUCCUUCUAUGCGGAAUGUACUUGGAUAAUGCAUAUUAUCCUUUUCUUAAUAUUCGUUUAUCUGCAAACUGUUUUUUUUUCAUUUAUUAAAAAAAACUUAAGGUAUCUUCUGUAUUUUUUUAUAACUCACUUAACAUUAAUAUUUUUCUAAUUUGAUUAUAUUUUUAUAGUAUAGGCAGAUAAAUUAAUUUGACUUUAUUUUAAAUUUGAAAAAUUGAAUGGGGUUUAUAUAUUUAAAGCCUCCAUCAGAAAGCUGAAAAGUGAUCAAUUGAAGAUCUUUCAGUUCGCACGGAGGCGGAAAGGGAUAGGGUUUAUCCCAUCGAAACCUUUGAAGGAUUAGGACAAAUUUGUUUAAUCUUGUUCUUUUCCCAUCUUGUUUCGCACAAUU